GCGGGGGCUCCGGGUGGACACUUCAAACUCUUGCGUAACUUUGCAGUCUGAGUAAACUUAAUUAAUAAAUUAAAACUUUUAACAACGGAUCUCUUGGUUCUGGCAUCGAUGAAGAACGCAGCGAAAUGCGAUAAGUAAUGUGAAUUGCAGAAUUCAGUGAAUCAUCGAAUCUUUGAACGCACAUUGCGCCCCCUGGUAUUCCGGGGGGCAUGCCUGUUCGAGCGUCAUUUCACCACUCAAGCCUCGCUUGGUAUUGGGCAACGCGGUCCGCCGCGUGCCUCAAAUCGACCGGCUGGGUCUUCUGUCCCCUAAGCGUUGUGGAAACUAUUCGCUAAAGGGUGUUCGGGAGGCUACGCCGUAAAACAACCCCAUUUCUAAGGUUGACCUCGGAUCAGGUAGGGAUACCCGCUGAACUUAAGCAUAUCAAUAAGCGGAGGA
rnacentral:rRNA from 1 species